rnacentral:misc_RNA from 1 species
UACGAAUGGGGCAAGCGUUGUUCGGAAUCACUGGGCGUAAAGCGUACGUAGGCGGCUUUUCAAGUCAGAAGUGAAAGCCUUGGGCUCAACCCAAGAAUUGCUUUUGAAACUGGAUCGCUAGAGUCCCGGAGAGGUUGGCGGAAUUCCGAGUGUAGAGGUGAAAUUCGCAGAUAUUCGGAGGAACACCAGUGGCGUAGGCGGCCAACUGGACGGGAACUGACGCUGAGGUACGAAAGCAUGGGGAGCAAACAGG